AAAGCUAUUCGGUUCGGGUCGGAUCAGCUUUACUCUUCUUCCAUAAAAUAAAAAACUUGAACACGGCUGAGAACAAGAACUUAUCUAAAAAAAUUGACAGAACAUAGAUAGAGAUUAGAGAGAGAGAGAGAGAGAGAGAGUGAGAAAGUCAUACCACGCCGGAGAUAGAUCGAGGACGAAGGUGGCUGUCGCGUCGCGGCUACAGACCUACGCUUUUUUAAGGCUAUGAUGGAGGCUGUAUCUAAUGAUGUGAUUCCUCCCAAGCAUCGGGUUAGAGCCACACUUCGGCUUGGGCCUGAAACUUAUGUUGUUUGCAAGAAUGAGGGAACUCUUUCCGAUCAAUUGGUUUCAAUGAAAGAGGAAAGCAUGGGCAUAUUGAAGGAAUUCAUCACCAAACAUAAUGUUCCUAAUGAUGUUCCUGAUGAACUUGUUGAGAGCUCUUCGGAAGACGAUACCGGAAACCCUGAGAAGACUCAUGUCAAGUCCAAGAAGACAAAGUUAACAUAAUCCACUAUGGUUUAAACCCCACCAAAGAAAAAAUGUAUGGGAAACUCCUUUAAUGAAAUGAUUGUGUUCUUUCGCCUUUGACUUCUCUAAUGCUUGAGACACUGCUUGUUACAGAUACUUUGGCGAAGGAGAUUCCUAUGUUAAACGAAUCUUCUGGUGCCUGAGGAUUUUGAGGUUGUUUUAACCAUAUUAAGUCCUAUCGUCUUUGGUAUUA